ACCCUUUAGACAAAAAAAAAAAAAAAAAAAAAUUCUUCUCCAACCUCAUUAUCUUAUCUCUGCAAAGUUCAAGCAAAGAGAGAAGAGAACGCCAUUGCAAUAGCUUAGUACGACUAGCUAGGAGCAUCAACUUCUGAAGAUGAAGGACUUAAUUCAGCUGCCUUACGAUGCUUCUGUGCGGGUUAUUUUAGCUUCACUGGAACGAAAUUUGUUGCCAGACGCUGUCGUUAGGAGAUUCACUCGAUUGCUGUUGGCCUCUCGUCUCCGUUCUGGCUACAAGCCUUCUUCUGAACUCCAGCUCGCCGACCUCCUUCAUUUCGUGCAUUCUCUCAAACAGAUGCCUAUUGCUAUCAUGACUGAGAAGCCCAAAGCGCAACAUUAUGAACUUCCUACUUCUUUCUUCAAGUUGGUUCUGGGCAAAAAUUUCAAGUACAGUUGUUGUUAUUUUUCUGACAAAUCAAACACCUUAGAGGAUGCUGAGGAAGCAAUGUUGGAGCUCUACUGUGAGAGGUCACAGCUAAAAGAUGGCCACACUGUCCUUGACAUUGGAUGUGGCUGGGGAUCACUCUCCAUAUACAUUGCUCGAAAGUACAGAAAUUGCAGGAUUACUGGGAUUUGCAACUCAACAACCCAGAAAGCAUUCAUCGAGGAGCAGUGUCGGGAAAAUCAGCUGCAGAAUGUAGAAAUUAUUGUUGCAGAUAUUAGCACAUUAGAAAUGGAGGCAUCCUAUGAUCGCAUAUUCUCCAUUGAAAUGUUUGAGCAUAUGAAAAACUACAAAGAUCUUCUUCACAAGAUAUCCAAGUGGAUGAAAGAGGACAGUCUUCUUUUUGUGCAUUAUUUCUGCCACAAGACAUUUGCUUACCACUUUGAGGAUAUAAAUGAAGAUGACUGGAUUACUAGGUAUUUCUUCAGUGGAGGAACAAUGCCUGCUGCAAAUCUGCUGCUUUAUUUCCAGGAUGAUGUUUCUGUUGUCAACCAUUGGCUUGUGAAUGGGAAACAUUAUGCACAGACAAGUGAGGAGUGGCUCAAAAGAAUGGACAAGAACUUGGGUUUGAUUAAGCCAAUAAUGGAAUCAACUUAUGGCAAAGAACAAUCUCUCAAGUGGACUGUCUACUGGAGAACAUUCUUCAUUGCAGUUGCAGAACUUUUUGGAUACAACAAUGGAGAAGAAUGGAUGGUUGCACUUUUCCUAUUUAAGAAAAAAUGAAGCAUGAAAAAAACACCCUCCUCUCAGUUGAAGAUGACAUGGGAGCCAUGGCUGAGGCGGAGAAUCCCGGUGAUAGAGCAAAGAUCUGGUUGGCAAAAUCGACGCCAACAGUAGGAGAGCUCCGAUCGUUGAAGAGCCAACAGGAUUGGCCCAAUGGGAGGCAAAUCUGGUUAUUGUGGAGACUUUUGUUGGGUGAGAAGAGACUGUCGGUUGAGAUGGAAAAAAAGCGGAGGGAAAGAAUCUAGGGACUUGAAUUUAUUUGAUAUUUUUCGAUGAAUUAGCGACGGGAUUAAUUUUGUCACUAAUAUUUUUUCUGUCGCUAAUCUGCCCUUUCGCGUCGUCAAAAUGUAAUAAGUUUUCCUAUCGCAAAUUUGUCGCAGAUUCUAUCGCUAAUUAUUGUUUUGCGACAGACAUAUGUUUCGGUGCAAAUUUCGACGCAAAAACCCCUAUUUACUUAUAGUGAAA